CAAGGUGGGCAAACUUCCUUGUCAAAGUCUGAUCUCAUCAGACGUCAGAAGUUAAGUAGGGCUGGGACUCAUUAGUACUUGGAUGGGAGACCACUGAGCAGGCCUAUUGA
rnacentral:rRNA from 1 species